UAAAUCUCUUUGCUUGCUUCCUCUCUGCUUCUUUCGGAUCUGAGCAAUCGAUCCUCGGAGAUUCGAAAUCCUUUGCAAAAAUGAUGGCGCGACAGAGGAAUCAUCACCGUCGGAAAACGUCGUACUCAACCCUCGUCUUCGCGGUGUUGAUUAUGUUCACUUUCGUGAUUCUGUUCCUUCUCGCGCUUGGGAUCCUCUCGCUGCCCAGCAACAAUGGCGGGUCCUCCAAAGCCAAUGAUCUCACUUCCAUUGUCCGUAAAAACCUUCAGAGAAACGGCAAAGAUGUUUCGGAGAAUGAGCGUUGGGUUGAAAUUAUAUCUUGGGAACCCAGAGCUUCUAUUUACCACAACUUCUUGACGAAGGAGGAAUGCAAAUAUCUAAUAGAGCUAGCUAAACCGCAUAUGGAGAAGUCAACUGUUGUCGAUCAGAAGACUGGAAAGAGCACAGAUAGCAGGGUGAGAACCAGCUCUGGGACUUUUCUUCCAAGAGGACGCGACAAAAUCAUCCGUCAAAUCGAGAAACGGAUAUCAGAUUUUACCUUCAUACCAGUUGAGCAUGGGGAAGGUCUUCAAGUUCUGCACUAUGAAAUAGGGCAAAAGUACGAGCCUCACUAUGACUACUUUAUGGAUGAGUAUAACACUAGGAACGGAGGGCAGCGUAUUGCCACAGUUCUCAUGUACCUGUCAGAUGUAGAGGAGGGGGGUGAAACAGUGUUUCCCUCAGCCAAGGGAAACUAUAGCGCAGUGCCGUGGUGGAAUGAGCUGUCAGAGUGCGGGAAAGGAGGGCUGUCCGUGAAACCAAAGAUGGGAGAUGCAUUGCUUUUCUGGAGCAUGACACCUGAUGCCACUCUGGACCCAUCUAGUCUUCACGGUGGAUGUGCUGUAAUCAAAGGGAACAAGUGGUCAUCCACAAAGUGGUUGCGUGUACACGAGUACAAGAUUUGAUCUAAUUAUUGAGGGCAGGAGGUGGAUUCGCCUAACAUACUUGAAAGAUGAAUGAGGAAGAAGCAAAGAGAGAGAGAAAGGAGGCGUAGGAAAAGGUCAGAAGAAUUGGAGCCCUCUGCUUGCCUCCUUUAGAUACUUAUGUUUAUCUUUAAAGAGUAGAUAUUUUGUAUCUCAAAGAAAAAGACGACCACUAUUUGAGUUGAUUUGAUAUGAUUUGAUUAAUACCACUGCCAUUUGAUGGGAUUA